rnacentral:lncRNA from 1 species
CCUGCCAACUUUUGAAAAUCCCCAUGGGGGAUUUAGUGCGCGACCAGAUUUUUAAGGGUUACAGUUUUUGCGGCAUUUCUGCGUGCACUGUUUUUUACUCUUUAAAUAGUCUCAUAUCUCUUCUUUUUUCUUUUGGUAUACUGAUGAUAAGCUUAUAAGCCUUGAUUUCUUUUAUUUGCAUGAUUCUUCUACUUAUUUUAAAAUUGACAAAACAAUUUAAGAAAAGAGAAAAAUGACAAUAAAAAAUGAAGACCCCCCUUUCCCCCCUCCAAAGACCUGCUUGUCUUUAGACCACGACUCAAAAGACAUGAACCUAUAUGUCCUAAAGUUAGAAAAAUAAAUUCAGAUUUUUAUUAAGUCUGCCAGUAUUAAUGAGAAAAUGGAUAAAAUUUGAGUUAUCUUUCUUUGUGUUCAGAGGUGCUCUUACCGGCGGAGGCUUAUAUACAGUAGAAGUGUAUACAAAAUGGCAUCGAUUUUAAAUCAACAGACACAUGUCUGAUUUCAAAAAUUAAAUGGAUUUCAAGAUAAACGAUGUUUUCUUAAGAGUUCAUUACACUGUUCUCAUCUUUUAGUUAAUAUGAUUUUGUCAUGGAACUACGGUAAACGUUGCAAAUUGUGCUUAUAUGAUAAAUUGGUUAAAAUCAAAGGCCGUCUGACUGAAUUUCUGUUUACAAAUAUUAACUAAUUUUGAGGAUUGUUAUGACCCAUCAGGUAAUCCGAUUACUUGCAACAACAAAUUAUGACACCUGUUGUGACCGUUGAUUAGCACAGGGUUAAUAUAAACUUGUCAUAAUAUGUCCCCAGGUAAAAUUAUAGAUUUUUAAAAAUUGAUCAGAAAAACUUCAAAAUCGGUAACAAAUAAUUUUUUCGGGUAUAUUUUGUGAAAAUCGGGUUUUUGACUUGUUUUACGAUCCCGAUAUCGGGAUUCGGGUUGAGGGAUGAAAAUCGGGAU